CAUGCGUAGUGGGCUUCUCGGGCGGUGGGGUGGGCGCGGAAUUUGGCGACCCACUUCGGGAAAGUCAGGAUGGUGGUGCCUUCGCUGAAGCUUCAGGACCUCAUCGAAGAGAUUCGCGGGGCCAAGACUCAGGCCCAGGAGCGGGAGGUGAUCCAAAAGGAGUGUGCCCACAUCCGGGCCUCCUUCCGCGACGGGGACCCAGUGCACAGGCACCGGCAGCUGGCCAAACUGCUCUACGUCCACAUGUUGGGCUACCCCGCCCACUUUGGACAGUGACCUGAGCCAGGGGAUUCAGCCAGUACAAGGCCUGGCCUUGUGCACUUUGAGCACCAUGGGCUCUGCUGAGAUGUGCCGAGACCUGGCCCCAGAAGUGGAGAAACUGCUCCUGCAGCCCAGUCCCUACGUGCGCAAGAAGGCUAUUCUGACUGCAGUGCACAUGAUCCGGAAGGUCCCUGAACUCUCCAGUGUCUUCCUCCCACCCUGUGCUCAACUGCUUCAUGAGCGUCACCAUGGUAAGGCUGUGGGGCUCCCCAUCCUUUGCUUCAGCUCUAUGGACAGAAGAAUUGAAAAUCGGAUGGGAACCCCAGCUCACAGGAGAAGGGUAGUGCACACACACAGGCACACACGCAAUAGACUCUCUUGCCCCUGGCCCCCACCAUUCACUUCCCCGACCCUGACCCCAGGCAUCCUGCUGGGCACCAUCACGCUGAUCACGGAGCUCUGCGAACGAAGCCCUGCAGCCCUCAGGCACUUCCGAAAGGUGGUACCCCAGCUGGUACAGAUCCUCCGGACUCUGGUGACAACGGGAUACUCCACAGAACACAGCAUAUCUGGAGUCAGCGACCCCUUCCUGCAGGUGGGGUGACCUUUCACUGCUGUAUCCCUGGAUCAGAGAGGGCAUAGCAGUAAGACCAUGACCAGUGGUUU
rnacentral:sRNA from 1 species